UACGAAGGGGGCUAGCGUUGCUCGGAAUCACUGGGCGUAAAGGGUGCGUGGGCGGGUCUUUAAGUCAGGGGUGAAAUCCUGGAGCUCAACUCCAGAACUGCCUUUGAUACUGAAGAUCUUGAGUUCGGGAGAGGUGAGUGGAACUGCGAGUGUAGAGGUGAAAUUCGUAGAUAUUCGCAAGAACACCAGUGGCGAAGGCGGCUCACUGGCCCGGUACUGACGCUGAGGUGCGAAAGCGUGGGGAGCAAACAGG
rnacentral:rRNA from 1 species